GUUGUUAAACUCAUGGCUCUUUCUUAUCAGCAGUGUGCUCCUGGACCAGCAGUGCAUGGGUUAAAAUGAUUUAAAAUUUUGACAAAUUUUUCUGUACCAGGUGACAUUCUGGUGAUGGAUGAGCUUGGCUACUUCUACUUCAAGGACAGGACUGGUGAUACAUUCAGGUGGCGGGGAGAGAAUGUGUCUACUGCUGAGGUGGAGGCUGUCAUCAGCAAUGUGGCAGGACUU